GAUUCUGGCUCAGGAUGAACGCUGGCGGCGUGCCUAACACAUGCAAGUCGAACGAAGCACUUCUGGUUUGAGAUUCGUCAAGAACCGGAAUUGACUUAGUGGCGGACGGGUGAGUAAUGUAUGAGCAACCUGCCUUCAGAGGGGGACAACAGUUGGAAACGACUGCUAAUACCGCAUAAUGUAUUUGGGUGGCAUCACCUGGAUACCAAAGGAGCAAUCCGCUGAAAGAUGGGCUCAUAUCUGAUUAGUUAGUUGGCAGGGUAACGGCCUACCAAGACUGCGAUCAGUAGCCGGACUGAGAGGUUGAACGGCCACAUUGGGACUGAGAUACGGCCCAGACUCCUACGGGAGGCAGCAGUGGGGAAUAUUGGGCAAUGGGCGAAAGCCUGACCCAAGCAACGCCGCGUGAAGGAAGAAGGUCUUCGGAUUGUAAACUUCUUUUAUGAGGGACGAAGGACGUGACGGUACCUCAUGAAUAAGCCACGGCUAACUACGUGCCAGCAGCAGC
rnacentral:rRNA from 1 species